UGAAAAGAAUUGACCCGUGAUUGUAUU
rnacentral:piRNA from 1 species